ensembl:snRNA U6 U6 spliceosomal RNA
GUUCUCGCUUUGGCAGCACAUAUACUAGAAUUGGAACGAUACAGAAAUUAGCAUGGCCCCUGCGCAAGGAUGACGUGCAGAUUUGUGAAGCAGUCCAUAUUUUU